UUUCCUGCAUGCAUCUUGGGCAAAAAAAUAUUGUUCUAAAUUUAUAUUUUUUUUAAUCAAAAGUGAUUUUUAUCUGACUAACGAUAUCAUAAUUUGAUUCAAACAUUAAUAAACACGAACACCACAAAACAACAUAAUGCAUUAAUUAAAAAAAUAUAUCAUAAUAUUACAAACAUUUUUCUCAAAGUAUAGAAAAUAAAAUUAAAACAUUCAAAUAUACAAAAAAAAAACAUAUCCUAC
rnacentral:lncRNA from 1 species